rnacentral:rRNA from 1 species
GAUGAACGCUAGCUACAGGCUUAACACAUGCAAGUCGAGGGGCAGCAUGUCGGUUGCUUGCAACCGAUGAUGGCGACCGGCGCACGGGUGAGUAACGCGUAUCCAACCUUCCCGUCACUCAGGGAUAGCCCGCCGAAAGGCGAAUUAAUACCUGAUGAUCUCCUUUGCGGACAUCUAAUGACGGAGUAAAGGUUUUUCCGGUGACGGAUGGGGAUGCGUCUGAUUAGCUUGCCGGCGGGGUAACGGCCCACCGGGGCAACGAUCAGUAGGGGUUCUGAGAGGAAGGUCCCCCACAUUGGUACUGAGACACGGACCAAACUCC